AGAAUCAUUGAAUUUUUCUGCAAAAAAAUGUCAUCUGGUUGAACCAAUAUUCCACUCUUGUACAAUAAUCUUAUCUGCUUGAACCCCAUAUUCUGACCAUGUAUAAAAUAAAUUGAAAUUGAUUUCCACGUCUUUCGUGAUCCUGUAGAGAAUGGUGAAACUUCACAUCUCUCAAUCAACUCCAACUACUUCGCUCCAAGAUUGGUGUUGUUAACGACUCCAUCUAGAGAGAGCUUAGAGAAAAAACAUAACUCUACC
rnacentral:lncRNA from 1 species